ACCUGGGUGGCUCAGUCAGUUGAGCAUCUGACUUGGGCUCAGGUCGUGAUCUCACGGUUCGUGGGUUCAAGCCCCGCAUCGGGCU
rnacentral:tRNA from 1 species